UACGAAGGGGGCUAGCGUUGCUCGGAAUCACUGGGCGUAAAGGGUGCGUAGGCGGGUUUUUAAGUCAGAGGUGAAAUCCUGGAGCUCAACUCCAGAACUGCCUUUGAUACUGAAAGUCUUGAGUAUGGGAGAGGUGAGUGGAACUGCGAGUGUAGAGGUGAAAUUCGUAGAUAUUAGGAAGAACACCAGUGGCGAAGGCGGCUCACUGGUCCGGUACUGACGCUGAGGUGCGAAAGCGUGGGGAGCAAACAGGG
rnacentral:rRNA from 1 species